GCCGAAGUGGCGGAACAGGCAGACGCGCACGACUCAAACUCGUGUGGGGCAACCCGUGUGGGUUCGACUCCCACCUUCGGCACCA
rnacentral:tRNA from 1 species